CUUAAUUUCUUUAUCCAUGCAGUCUUAGAAACACUGAAGUCCCAAGGACUUCAUCGUGAAGAUGUCCUUGGGACAGUUGGGCCAUUUAAAAUCUUUCUGGGCAGUUUGGAGGCCCUUGUAGGCCCAUCUGAACUUCCAGAUGAGGUAAUGGAUGCCCUAUUUUACAUAAUCAGCAGGAGCCAGCCUGGGACAGAGCCCAUAAAUAGCCAGGCUAUGCGCCUGAUUUUGGAAGGCAGCUCCAGGGCCAGGAGCACUUAUUUUCUAAAAAAAAACAUUCUUAAAGGAGCCAGUGCCAUCUUCGGGCCCUACUUGGUGGGAGAGUGCCACUGGACCCUCUUUCAUUGCAACUUGAAAGAGGGAACCAUUACAUACAUUGACUCAUUGGGGGAGCAUCCACAACGUUGCUCCCAAAUCAUCGAAAAUUGGAG